rnacentral:rRNA from 1 species
AGCUUGCUUUCUCGAGCGAGUGGCAAACGGGUGAGUAACACGUAAACAACCUGCCUUCAGGAUGGGGACAACAGUUGGAAACGACUGCUAAUACCGCAUAAUGUAUUCUGACCGCAUGAUCGGAAUACCAAAGAUUUAUUGCUGAAAGAUGGCCUCGCGUCUGAUUAGAUAGUUGGUGAGGUAACGGCCCACCAAGUCGACGAUCAGUAGCCGGACUGAGAGGUUGAACGGCCACAUUGGGACUGAGAUACGGCCCAGACUCC